GUGUUCACCGGGUAGACCUUGAUGGUAUAGAACAAUUAAGGCACGCGGUGAAUGCCA
rnacentral:pre_miRNA from 1 species